GAUGAACGCUGGCGGCGUGCUUAACACAUGCAAGUCGAGCGAACGGACGCGAAGUUUGCUUUUCUGAUGUUAGCGGCGGACGGGUGAGAAACACGUGGAUAACCCACCUAUAAGACUGGGAUCACUUCGGGAAACCGGAGCUAAUACCGGAUAAUAUUUUGAACCGCAUGGUUCAAAAGUGAUAGACGGUUUUGCUGUCACUUAUAGAUGGAUCCGCGCUGCUUUGGCUAGUUGGUAAGGUAACGGCUUACCAAGGCAACGAUGCCUAGCCGACGGGUGAGAGUGUUCGCCGCCCCGGGAGCUGGACCGCGUACCAGGCUCCUACGGGAGGCAGCAGUAGGGAAUCGUCCGCAAUGGGCGAAAGCCUGACGGAGCAGCGCCGCGUGAGUGAUGAAGGUCUUCGGGUCGUAAAACUCUGUUAUUGGGGAAAAACAUAUUUGUAAGGAACUGUGCACAUCGUGACGGUACCUAGUCGAAAAGCCACGGCUAACUACGUG
rnacentral:rRNA from 1 species